UACGUAGGGGGCAAGCGUUGUCCGGAAUCAUUGGGCGUAAAGAGCGUGUAGGCGGCCCGAUAAGUCCGCUGUGAAAGUCCAGGGCUCAACCUUCGAAAGCCGAUGGAUACUGCAGGGCUAGAGUCCGGAAGAGGCGAGUGGAAUUCCUGGUGUAGCGGUGGAAUGCGCAGAUAUCAGGAGGAACACCAAUAGCGAAGGCAGCUCGCUGGGACGGUACUGACGCUAAGGCGCGAAAGCGUGGGGAGCGAACAGG
rnacentral:rRNA from 1 species